rnacentral:misc_RNA from 1 species
CCAAUAGCGUAUAUUAAAGUUGUUGCAGUUAAAAAGCUCGUAGUUGAAUUUCGGGAUCAAUAUAUCGGUCGUGCCUUGGUACGUACUGGUAUCAUUGGUUUCUCCUUUCUGACGAACCAUGAUGUCAUUAAUUUGGUGUUAUGGGAAGUUAGGACUGUUACUUUGAAAAAAUUAGAGUGUUUAAAGCAGGCUUUAGCUUGAAUACAUUAGCAUGGAAUAAUGAAAUAGGACGUUCGAACCUAUUUUGUUGGUUUCUAGGAUCAACGUAAUGAUUAAUAGGGAUAGUUGGGGGCAUUAGUAUUCAAUUGUCAGAGGUGAAAUUCUUGGAUUUAUUGAAGACUAACUACUGCGAAAGCAUUUGCCAAGGAUGUUUUCAUUAAUCAAGAACGAAAGUUAGGGGAUCGAAGACGAUCAGAUACCGUCGUAGUCUUAACCAUAAACUAUGCCGACUAGGGAUCGGAUGAUGUUAAUUUUUUAAUGACUCAUUCGGCGCCUUACGGGAAACCAAAGUGUUUGUUC